AACGAACGCUGGCGGCAUGCCUAACACAUGCCAGUCGAACGAGACCUUCGGGUCUAGUGGCGCACGGGUGCGUAACGCGUGGGAACCUGCCCUUAGGUUCGGAAUAACUCCCCGAAAGGGGUGCUAAUACCGGAUAAUGUCUUCGGACCAAAGAUUUAUCGCCUUUGGAUGGGCCCGCGUUGGAUUAGCUAGUUGGUAGGGUAAAAGCCUACCAAGGCGACGAUCCAUAGCUGGUCUGAGAGGAUGAUCAGCCACACUGGGACUGAGUCACGGCCCAGACUCCUACGGGAGGCAGCAGUGGGGAAUAUUGGACAAUGGGCGAAAGCCUGAUCCAGCAAUGCCGCGUGAGUGAUGAAGGCCUUAGGGUUGUAAAGCUCUUUUACCCGGGAUGAUAAUGACAGUACCGGGAGAAUAAGCUCCGGCUAACUCCGUG
rnacentral:rRNA from 1 species